GGGGGCAACUGAAAAAGCCAUUUCAGGUAGCGUAACAGCACUUGAAUCAUCAGAAAGAGAGUCAGAGUCAUCUGCAGGGAUGUAACAAACCAUUUCCACCUUUUGAUGGGCCUGGAACUCCUCUCCAUGAAAUGAAGUUGCUGGUGAAAAAUCAGGCAGAGAAACAGGCACAAGAUCACAAUUAGAACCAGCGAAUUCACUGGACAGUAACAUUUCUUUCUCAUGAGGAGCAACUAACUCAA
rnacentral:misc_RNA from 1 species